rnacentral:rRNA from 1 species
GACGAAGGAUGCAAGCGUUAUCCGGAUUCAUUGGGUUUAAAGGGAGCGUAGGCGGCCUUGUAAGUCAGUGGUGAAAUCUCUCGGCUUAACUGAGAAACUGCCAUUGAUACUGCAGGGCUUGAGUACAGUUGCCGUUGGCGGAAUAUGACAUGUAGUGGUGAAAUACAUAGAGAUGUCAUAGAACACCGAUUGCGAAGGCAGCUAACGAAACUGUAACUGACGCUGAGGCUCGAAAAGUGUGGGGAUCAAACAGG